rnacentral:rRNA from 1 species
GCGGUAUCCUAACCGUGCAAAGGUAGCGCAAUCACUUGUCCCCUAAAUAGGGACCAGUAUGAACGGCUAAAUGAGGGUACAACUGUCUCCUACGGCCAAUCAAUGAAACUGAUCCUCCAGUACAAAAGCUGGAAUAAACACACAAGACGAGAAGACCCUGUGGAGCUUUAAAUACCACCACUAACCACCAUAAAUGACAUAGUGGAUAUUUUAAGUUGGGGCGACUACGGAGUAAAACAAAACCUCCACGACACUAGGGCCCAACCCCCCAAAGGACAACACACCUACAGGAACCACACAAAUGACCCAGACAGCUGAGUACCGAACCAAGUUACCCCAGGGAUAACAGCGCCAUCCCCCUCAAGAGUCCAUAUCGCCAGGGGGGCUUACGACCUCGAUGUUGGAUCAGGACACCCAAGUGGUGCAGCCGCUACUAAAGGUCCGUUUGUUCAACGGCUAACGUCCUACGUGAUCUGAG